GAUAAACGCUGGCGGCGUGCCUAAUGCAUGCAAGUCGAACGGAUAGCAGCCUUCGGGCAGCUAUUAGUGGCAAACGGGUGAGUAACACGUGGGAAUCUGCCCGAGAGUGGGGAACAACUCCUCGAAAGAGGAGCUAAUACCGCAUACGGUCGCUCUGUGAAAGGAGAGGACUAAAGCCUUAAGCAAUUAAGGCGCUCUAGGAGGAGCCUGCGGCUGAUUAGCUAGUUGGUGGGGUAAAGGCCUACCAAGGCGAUGAUCAGUAGCUGGGUCUGAGAGGAUGGACAGCCACACUGGGACUGAGAUACGGCCCAGACUCCUACGGGAGGCAGCAGCAAGGAAUUUUGGACAAUGGGCGAAAGCCUGAUCCAGCCAUGCCGCGUGCAGGAUGAGGGCCUU
rnacentral:rRNA from 1 species